rnacentral:SRP_RNA from 1 species
GCUGGGCACUGUGGCACAUUCCUAUAGUCCUAGCUACUCGGGAGGUUGAGACAGGAGGAUUGCUUGAGCCCAGGACUGCUGGGCUAUAGUGCACUAUGCCAAUCAGGUGUCCACCCUAAUUUUGGCAUCAAUAUGGUGACUUCCCAGGAUCUGGGGACCACUAGGUUGCCUAAGGAGGAAUAAACUGGCCCAGGUCAGAAACAGAGCAGGUUAAAACUUCUAUGCUGACUAGUAGUGGGAUCAUGUCUGUGAGUGGCCACUGCAUUCCAACCUCGGAAACAUAGUGAGAACCUGUGUCU